UUAUAUUUGCAUCUUUAUCAACUCUGUUGUCAUUCUUAUCUUAACUUUCUCCAAAUUUCAACACACAAUCAAGAAAUUCAUUGAUUAUGAUGAGGUCCAAAUUCAGCCACAAGCACAUCAUGAAGAAAAAGAGGAGGAGUAUAUGCCAAAUAGAACUAAUUCAGCUAUUGCUAUGGACACCCUUAUGUCUUUCUUCAAUCGCUACAAUUCGCAUCCAGAUAUUCAAGAUGAUAUGCUAACAACAACUACUACUACUACGCCUCAGUCUCAAAUAAGUUGGGGCCAACUAAAGGCCAAACUUGACUGUCCACAAACAACAACUACUACUCUGCUGCCUCAGUCUCAAACUCGACUAAGGGCCAAAGCUAAUAGUGCAAAAACUACUCCGCCUCAAUCUCAAACAAGUUGGGAUCGGGUAAGCGCCAACAUUGAUAGUCCAUACCUAUCUCAUUUGGCUGAGGCCCGUGAAAUCGUUAGUCCACAUUCAUCAGAUCAUGAGACAAUUAUAAGAACUAAUUAUCAAGAUAAUAAUAUUGAAGAAGGGGAAAUAGAGGGUGAUUCAUUAGAGGCAACAUGGAAGGCGAUCACGAAGAAAAAGGAAGUGAAAAAAUCAUUGACAUUUAACGAUGCUUUAUCGAUGUCUCGAAUUGGAGGGUUGAAAGGGGAUAUUUCUGUUAGUACAGAGGAGUCCAACAAGAAAUUCGAUGAUUUCAUUAAGAAAAUCAAUCAAGAGAGGUUACUGCAGAGGCAAGAAUCUGAUCAGCGUGCCCACAAUGUUAAUAUGCUAAAUCGAGCACGAUAAGUGUUCACUAAUUAAAAGAACAGAAGGCAGUUUGGGAGAACAGAGUAGCCUUGGUGAGACUAUUGGUUUAAAAUUUUUACUUAAUAUGUAUAAACUCAAAAUUCUAAUCCCGCACAAAAUGGCAUUGAAAGAAAGACUUUUUCAGUUACAAAAAAAAUAAAUAAAAUUACAGAGUGUUUACAGCAUUUUCAGGUAACAUAUAUUGUCCAGUUAGUUCUUACUUUG
rnacentral:misc_RNA from 1 species